rnacentral:piRNA from 1 species
UCCACCCGCGUCCCAUUGGCCCCAAGUAAGC